GAUGAACGCUGGCGGCGUGCCUAAUACAUGCAAGUCGAGCGAACAGACGAGGAGCUUGCUCCUCUGACGUUAGCGGCGGACGGGUGAGUAACACGUGGAUAACCUACCUAUAAGACUGGGAUAACUUCGGAAAACCGGACCUAAUACCGGAUAAUAUAUUGAACCGCAUGGUUCAUUAGUGAAAGACGGUUUUGCUGUCACUUAUAGAUGGAUCCGUGACGCAUUAGCUAGUUGGUAAGGUAGCGGCUUACCAAGUCAACGAUGCGUAGCAGACCUGAGAGGGUGAUCGGCCGCACUGGAACUGAGACGCGGUCCAGGCUCCUACGGGAAGCAGCAGUAGGGAGUCUUCCGCAAUAGGCGAAAGCCUGACGGAGCGACGCCGCGUGAGUGGUGAAGGUCUUCGGAUCGUAAAACUCUGUUAUUAGGGAAGAACAAAUGUGUAAGUAACUAUGCACGUCUUGACGGUACCUAAUCAGAAAGCCACGGCUAACUACGUG
rnacentral:rRNA from 1 species